UUCUUCUUCUUCAUAAGCUACCUGUUUUUUCUUUUCUCUUGUUUUCCUCCGAUUUUGCUGUCUUCUUCUUCGGCAUCUACCACGAUCAGGAUCUUCGUUGUCGUCGUCUUCUUCUUCCGCUUCGUCGCUGGCUUUGAUGCAGCUAUGGAAGAAGCAAUAAAGCAUGCUCUGAAAGCACUAAAAAGACGGUCUCUACUGGAAGAGGGUGCUCAUUCGCCUGCUUUGCAAGCUCUCUCUCGCCCGAUCUUGUCUCAGGGCUCGGAAUGGAGAGAAAAGGCUGAAAACCUUGAAAAGGAACUCCAGCAAUGUUACAAAGCUCAAUCCCGGCUAUCAGAACAGCUUGUUGUUGAAGUGGCCGAAUCCCGAGCUUCCAAAGCUUUAAUACAGGAAAAAGAAUCCAGGAUAUCUGAGUUGCAAAAGGAUCUUAGUGAAGCAAGGGAUGAAUGCUCCUCCUUAGCUGUGCAGCUGGAAGAAAAGACAAAGGCUCUAGAAUUGCUGGUAAGGGAGCAUCAAGAUCUGAAACGACAACUUGAGGCAACUACAGUUAGAGCAAACAAUGCAGAGGCAGAGAACAAGAUGCUAAUUGACCGUUGGAUGUUAGAGAAAAUGAAAGAUGCUGAACGACUGAAUGAGGCAAACGCUCUUUAUGAAGAAUUACUUGACCGUGUCAAGGGAAGCAGUAUCCAACUACUUGCGCGUCAACAAAUUGACGGCAUCGUUCGCCAAAGUGAAGAAGGCGCAGAGUAUUAUGCUGAGUCAACUGUUCCGACUAUGUGCAAGCAAAGGAUUCCUGCCCAUGAGGGUGGUUGCUCUUCAAUACUGUUUGAAUACAAUUCUGGUAAACUGGUCAGCGGCGGACAAGACAAAGCCAUCAAAAUGUGGGAUACAAACACCGGGUCUUUAACCCGCACGCUUAAUGGCUGUUUGGGCUCUGUUCUCGACAUUUGUAUCACCCAUGAUAACAAAACCGUGAUUGCAGCGAGCAGCGGGAAUACAUUGUACGUCUGGGAUGUAAGUUCAGGGCGUGUAAGGCACACACUCACCGGCCACACGGACAAAGUCUGCGCUGUGGAUGUCAGCAAGGUGUCGAAUCGCCAUGUCAUCAGCGCUGCCUACGAUCGGACGAUAAAAGUGUGGGAUCUUCAGAGAGGCUACUGUGUCAACACUCUUCUCUGUCACAGCAAUUGCAAUGCCAUCUGCUUCAGUAUGGACGGGCAGACGAUAUGUUCGGGCCACGUGGACGGGAAUCUCCGGCUGUGGGAUAUUCAGACGGGGAAACUCCUGAGCGAAGUCGCCGCGCAUUCUUUUGCCGUGACUUCUCUCUCGCUUUCGACAAGCGGGAACAAGAUUUUGUCGAGCGGGAGGGACAACCUGCACAACUUGUUCGACAUCCGUACUCUUGAAAUCUGCGCAACCCUACGGGGGAAUGGCGGCAGAGUGGCGUCGAAUUGGAGCAGGUCUUGUGUAAGCCCUGAUGACAGCUAUGUGGCUGCUGGAUCGGUGGACGGGUCGGUACACGUCUGGUCGGUGGCGAACGGGAAAAUUGUGAAGACGCUGAACGAGCACACGGCCCCGAUCUUAUGCUGUUCUUGGAGUAAUCUUGGCAAGCCUUUGGCUACAUCAGACAAGAAUGGCAACAUUUGCUUGUGGUCUUGAAAAUGGAGUUGUGAAUUCUCAAGAAGAAGAAGAAGAAAGGUAACGAAAUUGGUGACUGAAAAAUCGAAGCAACCAUCCGCACACCCAUUAUUUGUUGAUCUCAAUACUUAAUCUCCAGUUGCCGAUCUCGAAGACGCAUCUGUCCCUUCCGAAAUUGUCGUUGCCAUCACGCCGGCUACGGAACGUCUUCAACAACAAGCGACGGAUGUUAGGGUUUUAAAAUAUUAGUAUCUGUUGUAAAUUUAUACGCAUUCAGAGGUAGAUAGAGGUCGACAUUGUUCUAUUCGAGCUGUUCGAGAAGAAAGCCCACCGUUCCGUCAUUGGUGAAGGAAGAUGUUGUGGGUCUGUUGUUCAUCGUUGAAGAACAGUUGUUGCUCGAAGCCGCCAUCACUAUCCGUCAUUGGAUAAAUCGAUCUCGAAGUUUUCAAUUGAUGAAUUUCGUGGAAUAUCGAACAAGUUUUGUAAUUUGGUCUUGUCCUGUGCGUGAAUCCUUCAAAGAAGAAAGGAGCGAGAUAGUUCGGUUGUAAAAUAUUAUGCCGUGGAACUAUGAAUUGGUACAUACCUUUUUUUUUUUUUUUUUUUUUUUUUUUUCCUUUGGUUGAUUCAACAUAAAUUAUUGCGUUGUGCAUCGACAAGAAAUGUGUUUGGUGUAUUUAUACAUCCUAUCAUAUUCUCGAUUGUAAUUUGCCAUACGUACUUGCAAUUUGCAACACCUAUAAUUUGAGAUUCGAACAUAACCGACGUAGUUGCAAUGACCGGGUAUUAUAGAUCUUCUAAAGUUGUAGUUUUUAAUUUUGAAAAGAUGU